rnacentral:rRNA from 1 species
UUGCCUCGGCGGAUCAGCCCGCUCCCGGUAAAANNNANACGGCCCGCCAGAGGACCCCUAAACUCUGUUUCUAUAUGUAACUUCUGAGUAAAACCAUAAAUAAAUCAAAACUUUCAACAACGGAUCUCUUGGUUCUGGCAUCGAUGAAGAACGCAGCAAAAUGCGAUAAGUAAUGUGAAUUGCAGAAUUCAGUGAAUCAUCGAAUCUUUGAACGCACAUUGCGCCCGCCAGUAUUCUGGCGGGCAUGCCUGUUCGAGCGUCAUUUCAACCCUCAAGCACAGCUUGGUGUUGGGACUCGCGUUAAUUCGCGUUCCUCAAAUUGAUUGGCGGUCACGUCGAGCUUCCAUAGCGUAGUAGUAAAACCCUCGUUACUGGUAAUCGUCGCGGCCACGCCGUUAAACCCCAACUUCUGAAUGUUGACCUCGGAUCAGGUAGGAAUACCCGCUGAACUUAAGCAUAUCAAUAAGCGGAGGAAAUCUUUACCGAGUUUAGAAUCAAAACCUGUGAACU